CAAAAAUGCUGUUUAAAAAUAUAUGAUUGAUCUCGCUGAGGAGGACCAACUGAAACCUGCUUUAAGGGAAGGGACCACUGAGUUCUGGAAAAGUGUGUCAAUGGAAAAAUACCCCAAUGUCAAAAGGGCUGCACUUAAAAUACUGUCAAUGUUUGGCUCAACGUACGUCUGUGAGUCUGUGUUUUCUACCAUGAAAUAUGUCAAAUCAAAACACCGCUCUGUUAUGACUGACACCCAUGUGAAAGAAUUGCUUCGAGUGGCAACAACGGAGUACGAGCCAGAUUUGAGGAGGAUUGUUCAAGGGAAGGAAUGCCAGAAGUCCCACUAAGCAACAUGCAUAGUAAG